AGGACGAACGCUGGCGGCGUGCUUAACACAUGCAAGUCGAGCGGUAAGGCCUUUCGGGGUACACGAGCGGCGAACGGGUGAGUAACACGUGGGUGAUCUGCCCUGCACUCUGGGAUAAGCCUGGGAAACUGGGUCUAAUACCGGAUAUGACCUGCUCUCGCAUGGGGGUGGGUGGAAAGAUUUAUCGGUGCAGGAUGGGCCCGCGGCCUAUCAGCUUGUUGGUGGGGUAAUGGCCUACCAAGGCGACGACGGGUAGCCGACCUGAGAGGGUGACCGGCCACACUGGGACUGAGACACGGCCCAGACUCCUACGGGAGGCAGCAGUGGGGAAUAUUGCACAAUGGGCGAAAGCCUGAUGCAGCGACGCCGCGUGAGGGAUGAAGGCCUUCGGGUUGUAAACCGUCUUUCAGCAGGGACGAAGCGCAAGUGACGGUACCUGCAAGAAGAAGCAACCGGCUAACUACGUGCCAGCAGCCGC
rnacentral:rRNA from 1 species